AGUUGCUGGAAUCAUAAAAUCUAUUCCCAUUAGACUAAAUUGGGAUAGUAAACAGCAGAAGGCUGAGGAAGGUAGAUAAUUGUAUUACUUAGGAUUCAUGGUUGUGAGUAUAAAUGGAAAGGAUUUUAUCAAAGGUUCUUAUAGACCUAGUAACCAAAUCCCAGAAAGGUAUCCAUGGGAUCCUGGCCUAAACUUCAAGAUCCAGGGUCUUUAACGACAUCCUUGGAACAUCUACGUUCUCGUCCUCCUCCAUGUUGGUUUAGGUCUCAAGCCCAGUUUCUUGGUUAUUUACUCUCUUUUACAAGUUGGGAGCCAUCUUCACGCCUAGCAUCCUAGAGGAGAAGGCUCAAUAUCUCUCCCACGUUUGGUAUGAAAAGUCCCAGGGACAAACUUGGGUUGGAUCACUUAGGUCCCGGCCUGGCCGCUGGCUCAUCCCUGUGGUCACGUCAAGCACGUGAGUGUUCUCAUAAGAACCCCCUGCCUGUGAAGAGUGAUUGGUCUGCAGAGCGAUUGGUCUGAAGAGUGAUUGGUCUGAAGAGUGAUUGGUCUGAAGAGUGAUUGGUCUAAAGAGUGAUUGAUUGGUCUGAAGAGUGAUUGAUUGGUCUGAAGAGUGAUUGAUUGGUCUGAAGAGUGAUUGGUCUGAAGAGUGAUUGGUCUGAAGAGUGAUUGGUCUGAAGAGUGAUUGGUCGGGGAGCGAGGACUGAGAGGCGGUUGAAAGCAAGAGUAGGGACAGGGGCAAAUAAUUCUCGAGUCCUCUUAAGAGAAACACAUUGCAGUUAACUGUGACAAAAUAUGAGGAAGAGUUUCCAGGGUUCCACUGCAGCUUGAGCCUAGUUUCUGGCUAAGUAUUUUUUAUCUAAAAAGCACACUCAGUGUAUCUGAAUCCCUGCCGAUUUCAAAUUUGACCAUCUUUCUUCAUGGACUCCCCACCGGUGGAAUCAAGCAACACAGAUCAAAAAUACAAAAGUUUGAGUUGCAUCUGGGCCCAGCACGCACAGCCUCCUUCCUCGUGUUGUUAAUACUCAGACAACGCAUACGACAACUGGUUACACGGAAUCCCAUUGUACUAGGAAACUUUUACUGGAACUGACCUAAAAUACGUAUAUGGCUCACAACCCUGGGAGAGAUCUUUAGUACAAACUGUCACUCUGUUGGUGUGAGCGCUCACAAGGCUACAUCAGACAUGCUAGUCUGCUUUCAAAGCUCGCUUGAUCUGAUGUGAGAGUCACUAAAGCACAGGGAAAUGCUGACCUGUGCAGUCUGACCACCAAUGGCCGCUAUUUCUGGGCUGAGCUAGAAACUGCAGAUCUUGAGGCUGAGAUUGGUGGACAUGAUGAAGGACGUGUACACGGAAGCUGGUCUCCCCAUGGGAGAGUCCGCUGUACAGCAGAGUGCUAGGUUCAAGCAAGCUCGAAUGCCCUGUGCAAAAAGAGACAAUCUGAGAAUCAACGAGAUGAAUGUAAAUAAAUAAAUAUUAAAAAUAA
rnacentral:sRNA from 1 species